rnacentral:rRNA from 1 species
AUUGAACGCUGGCGGCAGGCCUAACACAUGCAAGUCGGACGGUAGCACAGAGAGCUUGCUCUCGGGUGACGAGUGGCGGACGGGUGAGUAAUGUCUGGGGAUCUGCCCGAUAGAGGGGGAUAACCACUGGAAACGGUGGCUAAUACCGCAUAACGUCGCAAGACCAAAGAGGGGGACCUUCGGGCCUCUCACUAUCGGAUGAACCCAGAUGGGAUUAGCUAGUAGGCGGGGUAAUGGCCCACCUAGGCGACGAUCCCUAGCUGGGCUGAGAGGAUGACCAGACACACUGGAGCUGAGACACGGUCCAGACUCCAACGGGAGGCAGCAGUGGGGAAUAUUGCACAAUGGGCGCAAGCCUGAUGCAGCCAUGCCGCGUGUAUGAAGAAGGCCUUCGGGUUGUAAAGUACUUUCAGCGGGGAGGAAGGCGGUGCGGUUAAUAACCGCGCCGAUUGACGUUACCCGCAGAAGAAGCACCGGCUAACUCCGUGCCAGCCGCCGCAGUAA